AGAGUUUGAUCAUGGCUCAGAUUGAACGCUGGCGGCAGGCCUAACACAUGCAAGUCGAGCGGAAACGGCAUAACGGAACCUUCGGGUGAAGAUAUGGACGUCGAGCGGCGGACGGGUGAGUAAUGCUUAGGAAAUUGCCCAGUAGAGUGGGAUAACUAUUGGAAACGAUAGCUAAUACCGCAUAAUAUCUUCGGAUCAAAGUGGGGGACCAUUUGGCCUCAUGCUACUGGAUAUGCCUAAGUGAGAUUAGCUAGUUGGUGAGGUAAGAGCUCACCAAGGCGACGAUCUCUAGCUGGUCUGAGAGGAUGAUCAGCCACACUGGAACUGAGACACGGUCCAGACUCCUACGGGAGGCAGCAGUGGGGAAUAUUGCACAAUGGGCGCAAGCCUGAUGCAGCCAUGCCGCGUGUGUGAAGAAGGCCUUCGGGUUGUAAAGCACUUUCAGCAGUGAGGAAGGGGUAUAACUUAAUACGUUGUAUUCUUGACGUUAACUGCAGAAGAAGCACCGGCUAACUCCGUGCCAGCAGCCGCGGUAAUACGGAGGGUGCGAGCGUUAAUCGGAAUUACUGGGCGUAAAGCGCAUGCAGGCGGUUACUCAAGUCAGAUGUG
rnacentral:rRNA from 1 species